UUUACGAAACUUGAACACUGUGCGUUGGGAACAAGUGCAUUUGCCCAUCUUCCUCUUCCGUCGUGCAUCCCGUUAGUAUUGCGCUGUUAACACAUUUCACUUUACAUCUACCUAUCUUGUGUUUUUGUUGUUGCUGCUCUUCACACACAGAGCUUGUUGCACAACGAAAGUCAAGCAACCCCCAGGCCGCCCGUUCAAAAGCAUAGCAAUGGGAUGCGACUUUGUGCGCUCGUCGGUCGACAUAGGCAGCAAUGCAUUGCCAGUCGCAUUUUUACGGUCGAAGCGGUAAGAACUCCAGCGUCAGCAGUUUGCAGAGAAAAUAAAUAAUGAACAUGCUUCUGGAAACAUUUGGUCUUGAUUGGGCAUUCAUAGUGGGGGCUUGCGGAUCCAUGUUCAAAUUUGCUGAGCCACAACGUGAACGUUUGAGGAAUUGCUUUUUGGAGGAGUCAAUGCUGGUUCCAGUUUUGCCGUCGGCAUAAUAUGGUUUUCGUGCUAUGUGUAACAAACGCUUCUGAUGGUUUAUAGCCAAGAACACCAGAGCACUGCAGAGCAAAAUGAAAGAGUGAAAUUGCAUUUGGUUUCAAAAAGUUCGAGCUUAACGUUUUUAUGAAUGGAAUAUUAUUUUAUUAUACAAAUAUGUGUUUUUAGUGUCUUUGAAAUGCUUGUUAUACAGUUAUGCAAUACUACAGUCGGGAAGAAUAUAAUCAUUAGUCAUUUUGGAAGGUUAUAGCAAGUUGUAAGCUUAGAGCAAAUAGCGAAAGACUUCGUCUUGGAAUCAAAUCUAUAACUUAUUUCGAUUUAAAAAUUAUAAGUUGAUAUAAAAUAUUUUUUUAUUUUUCAAAAAAAAAAAA